UACGGGGGGGGCAAGCGUUGUCCGGAUUUACUGGGCGUAAAGCGCGUGUAGGCGGCUAUGUAAGUCGGGCGUGAAAUCCCACGGCUCAACCGUGGAAGUGCACCCGAAACUGCGUAGCUAGAGUCCUGGAGAGGAAGGUGGAAUGCUUGGUGUAGAGGUGAAAUUCGUAGAUAUCAAGCGGAACACCGGUGGCGAAGGCGGCCUUCUGGACAGUGACUGACGCUGAGACGCGAAGCGUGGGGAGCAAACAGG
rnacentral:rRNA from 1 species